UCCCUAGAAAAAUCAAUUCAAUAAAAAUAAACGUGCACGCCGCCGCCGACGUGCAUGACUUGCGCGACGACGACAACUUACACACAACUACUGUUAGCCCCCUCUAAAACUACGUCAAAUUUCCACCUAUGAAUUUUAAUUUAUAAAAACCGUACUGUUUUAUUUGUUCGCCGCUUUGCAAUAUAUGCGGUAGAGCAGGACAAAAAACUGAAAGAUUUUGUGCACCGCACUCGUAUUUAUAAAAUUGGUCUCGCACGCUGCGGCGCUGCGAUUGGAUAUCGCGCGCGGCCGCACGGCGGCGAUAACGUCGGUUGCCCGCGGCAUUCGUCGCCGCUGUUCGGGCCACGUUCACAGCAUUCUGUCGUCGUGGGUCCGUGUGUUGUCGCCGUGUCGGUGUUCGUCGAGUGUUGCGCCGGUCCCGUGUUCCGUUUCUGACUCGGCUGACGCCCGACCGACCGGCGCCAGCGCGCCCCGUCGGCCAUGUGACGUCGACGAACUCGGUCGACGGUCGGCCGAGUCGGCAACAGAACAGGGGACAACACUCGACGGCCACUGACCUGGCCACGGACCUGUCCUGACGGUUAAAAGUUAACAUUCUCGCGUAACGCUCGAGUGCGGCGCCGAUACGACCGCAUACACCAUAUUAUCUGCCGUUUCAAUUGUUCGUGUCGUUUCAUUUUUCCUGUCGUUUCAUUUUUCGUUACGGUUUAUUUUUUACCCAAACCUGAAGAAAGAAGUUUUAUUUCAAAAAUUUUUAAAUUAUAACACAAACUUCUUCAUAAGUUGUUAUUAGACGCAGUGUAAUUCAAAAUCGAUCGUAUUGGUUAUCGCAUUGGUCGGAUACUCACUGGGUGCACCGGGAUACGGUGGUGGAAGCCAUGAACACGGUGGACACCAAGUACACGAA
rnacentral:misc_RNA from 1 species